GAUGUAGCCAAGUGGAUCAAGGCAGUGGAUUUGUGAAUCCMCC
rnacentral:tRNA from 1 species